UCGGGAAUUUUGGGCAAUGGGCGAAAGCCUGACCCAGCAACGCCGCGUGAAGGAUGAAGUAUUUCGGUAUGUAAACUUCGAAAGAAUAGGAAGAAUAAAUGACGGUACUAUUUAUAAGGUCCGGCUAACUACGUGCCAGCAGCCGCGGUAAUACGUAGGGACCAAGCGUUGUUCGGAUUUACUGGGCGUAAAGGGCGCGUAGGUGGUUAUGCAAGACAGAUGUGAAAUCCCCGGGCUCAACCUGGGAACUGCAUUUGUGACUGUAUAGCUAGAGUACGGUAGAGGGGGAUGGAAUUCCGCGUGUAGCAGUGAAAUGCGUAGAUAUGCGGAGGAACACCGAUGGCGAAGGCAAUCCCCUGGACCUGUACUGACGCUCAUGCACGAAAGCGUGGGGAGCAAACAGGAUUAGAUACCCCAGUAGUCCCUGAGCGGGCUGGCAAGGCGCAU
rnacentral:rRNA from 1 species